CCCCAUUCUGGUAUAUGAUCCAAGCUCUAACCACUGGAAGGAUGGAUCCAAGGAAAUCUAGGAAAUCUGAUGAUGAUGUAGUUGCAACAAUCCAAUGUUACAAUGAAAAAAUAAAAGCAUUCACAGUUGGUAAAAAGAACUUGACCUUUACAACAAAUGACGUGACCUUGAUUUUCGGUUUGCAAGGAGAUAAAGGAGCCAUGUCAUUAAGAUACUCUAAAAAGCCAAAAUCUGCAUUCCUAAGGAGAAGAUUCCCAAAGGACACAAGGCUUACUGGUCUUGUUCUUAAAAAUGCCUUGGUCAAAGCAAUGAAAGGCAAGCAACCAACUAACUACAAAGAUGUAACAAUCAUUGUUACAUUGUACUUGUGUCUCACCCUAUUUUUUAAAACAAGUGAGAAUUCAAUAUGGUGAGUUUUUAUAAAGUAUGUGGAACCUCUUGAAUCAAUGAAACAAUAUGAUUGGCCAGAAGCAAUCACAUCAACAUUGAUUGAUUCUAUCAUAGCAUUGCACAAAACUCCAGAAAAAGUUACGGGGUGUGUCAUUGCAUUGCUAUAUUGGCUAUGUGAACAUGCAAAUAUCAUGGACUUGGAAGACAGUAACACAAUUGAUUUCCCAAGAUGUGCCAAGUGGAACUUGCAAAGCUUGACGAAACAGCUGCAGAAGACACUAGUCCACUCUCUUGCAC